rfam:Actinomyces sp. oral taxon 178 str. F0338 genomic scaffold SCAFFOLD2, whole genome shotgun sequence.
GGGGAUGAUCGGUUUCGACAGUGGUAGUCGAUCGAGGAGAAGCGAGCCGAGAACGCGCGCUCAACUCGUUAACGCUGCGUGCGAACCAAUAGGUGCCGAACAGAACCGCACCGACUACGUUCUCGCCGCCUGAUUUCGCCGCGUGAACCUUUAGUCCGUCAGCCCGGGUGGUGCUCCCAGCCCGGUGUCUGGCGUCGUUCAGGGAGCCACUGGGGGGCGCCCAUGUUGGUGGGGCGCCUCCGACACUCAAUCAACUGAGCCCAUCCGGUAGCAGGUCUGCAUGACGCCGGGGGCCGAGAAAUUAUUCGCAGACUGCGCUCGGAGAAGAACUCGGGGCCUGCCACUGGACGGGGGUUCGAUUCCCCCCAUCUCCACCG